rnacentral:rRNA from 1 species
GACGAACGCUGGCGGCGUGCUUAACACAUGCAAGUCGAACGGAAAGGCCCUGCUUUUGUGGGGUGCUCGAGGGGCGAACGGGUGAGUAACACGUGAGUAACCUGCCCUUGACUUUGGGAUAACUUCAGGAAACUGGGGCUAAUACCGGAUAGGAGCUCCUGCUGCAUGGUGGGGGUUGGAAAGUUUCGGCGGUUGGGGAUGGACUCGCGGCUUAUCGGCUUGUUGGUGGGGUAGUGGCUGACCAAGGCUUUGACGGGUAGCCGGCCUGAGAGGGUGACCGGCCCCAUUGGGCCUGAGCUACGGCCCAGACUCCUACGGUAGGCAGCAGUGGGGAAUAUUGCACAGUGGGCGGAAGCCUGAUGCAGCAACGCCGCGUGCGGGAUGACGGCCUUCGGGUUGUGAACCGCUUUCGCCUGUGACGAAGCGUGAGUGACGGUAAUGGGUAAAGAAGCACCGGCUAACUACGUG